rnacentral:lncRNA from 1 species
CUAAACCAUAUUGGGGCAGAUUGAAGUUUACACAACAAUAAAUAAAACGGAUACUACUAAUAUAAAAUUUGCGUAAGUUUGUAUUUGCAGUGUGUGGAUUUGGACAUUGAUAUGUUGAUACCUGACAUACAUAUAUGUCCAUAUCAUCUCAAAUAUCUCAGAUAUUAUUGUGUGUUAAUUAGAAUGAAUGUAUCAGUGACAUAAAUAUAUAAUAAAUUGAGGUUUGCUUAAGAAGAAUAUUGUUUGGAGCAUAUGGAAUGUAUGCAUGGUUGAUUGUACAGUUCAUGACCUUAAUUUGUGAAAUAUUUUUUUCUUAAUAAGUUGAUUGUACAGUUCAUGGUUGAUUGUAUGCAUGGUUGACCAUUUAGUUUUCUUAAUAGAUGAUUUAGAUUUAAAGCAUAGAUAUCAUUCACCAUAUAUCUAUUUAAAAGGUAUUUUGGUUUUUGUAAAAUAUAUAUUUUGGUUUACAAAAUCAGUUUUAUCCAACUAAGAAUACUGUGAUCUUUUCAAACACCUACAACAAUAGUUGGAUUUCAAAUUACAACCGAAUUGUAAAUUUAAAUUCAAAACAACAUUCAAAACUUAAUUAUAAAUCAAAUUCAAUUUUUUUAAAUAUAAAAACACAAAUUUAAAUAUAAAAACUUUCAACUCCAAUUCAAAAUUUCAAUUUAAAUACUUAACAAAUUGGAUAUUAUCUAAUUUGGUAAGUUACUAAAGUAAAUAAGAUAUUUAAUAUAUAAGAUGCUGACAAAUUUGGUAUAUACUACUAAUUUUUUUUCCAAUAUUGUUAUAUUAACUAAUUCAAAUCUGUAACCUGUUCAACAGGUUACUUCAUGUAAAACCCAAUUAUACCCUUUACUAAUUAAGAGUUAGAUUUUAAUAUUUAUGGUGUAUUGAAGUAUUCCCCUAUAUAUAUAUAUAUAUAUAUAUAUAUAUAUAUAGAGAGAGAGAGAGAGAGAGAGAGAGGCGUCUGGUAUGCUUAUGGAAGCACGGAGCGCUCCGUGCUUCCACUUUGUUUUCGAUGUUCAGACUUUCGAAUCGACGAUCGCUCCGUUAGACUUGAUCUAGAGUAUUUGAAGUAUCUAAGAAGUAAAUUUGCGAUUUUUCGAUAUCAUUUGCCUAGUGAUCGAAGUGGCUCAAAAUCAACGGCUGAAAAUAAAAAUCUUACAAAAUAUGAUGAUAUGACAUUAAAAUUUUAGAUCAAAGUUAUUGAUCUUGUUUUAUGUGGUAUAAAGAAUUUUCUAUCAAAAUUUCAUACGAUUUGGAUAUUUCUACACCGUUAAACUUGCAACCGGCUCACCACGGCCAUUAAAAUUAUUAAUUUUGAGCCCCUUCGAUCACUAGGCAAAUGAUAUCGAAAAAUCAUAAAAUUUAUUUUCUAUGUACUUCAAAUACUCUAGAUCAACUCUAACGGAGCCGAUCGUCGAUUCGAAAGUCUGAACAUCGAAAACAAAGUGGAAGCACGGAGGGCUCCGUGCUUCCAUAAACAUACCAGCCUACUCUAUAUAUAUAUAUAUAGAGAGAGAGAGAGAGAGAGAGAGCUAAGUGGGGUUGAUACAAGGGUCAAAAAAAAGGAAACACCAACUUUCUUAUACUUUGAAAGAAUAGUAGCUUUACACGAUAUAUAGUCUGGUUACUAUAUUCAUAUAUAGAAUUGAGCUCCUAUGCUUUUAAAAGUACUAAGUCAUUGGUGCUUGUAAGUUUUCGACCCUUGGAUUAAGAAAUGUGCGGUUAGGAUGAUAUGGGCCCCCUAGGGUUGAGUGGGUGGUUGGUUAAAUAGUAUCUAACGGGUGAAAAUGAUCAAAUGCGUAGAUCUAAUGGUAGAAAAUUUACAAGCACUAAGUGCUUAGUGCUUUUACAAGCACCGUAGCCGGACUCUUCAUAUAUAUAUAUAUAUAUAUAUAGUCCAACUAUUAUACUCUUAUAAGUAUGAUCGUUUUCGUACUCACAAUUUAUUUUUGAUGAUAGAGCUUCUGAAUCGGCGAUUUAUACUGUUAAAUAUUAUCUAGAGUUUUUAAAAUUUUUAGAAAUAAAAUUUUCAUAAUUUUUUAUAUCAUUUAUCUUACGAUAAAAAAAUUUCAAAAUUGACAAUUUUUAACGGCCAGUAUAUGAUACUUGCUAGUUUAACGAUGUAAAGAAUCGAAAUCUCUUGAAUUUUUGAUAGAAAAUUUUAUUUACUAUCUAGAUAAAUUUAGAUAAAAAUUAAUAACUCUAAUCUAAUAUUAAAGUAUCCGAGCAUUCAUUUUUAGGGCAUUGUUCGAUUUUAAUCAUUCAUUUUAUGCCCGCUUGGAUAGAUUUUAUUAUGAUUUUGAAAAAUAAUGAAAUUUAUUUUCUAAAAAUUUCAAGUACUUUAGAUCAUAUUUUACGGUAUGGAUCAUCAAUUCGGAAGCUCCAUCUUUGAAAAUAAUUUAUGAGUACGAAGGGCUCUAUACUCAUAAAGGUAUAGUAACACUACUCUCUAGAUCUCUCUCUAUAUUGAACGGAGUGUUUUAGUAAUUUAAUUGAAAAUUUGCAGAGUUUUAAACACACACACAAACAUANUUCAUAAUUUUUCGACAUGAUUUGUCUAGUAAUCAAAAGAUCUCAACAAUUGAUAAUUUUAAUGGUUGAUAUGAUGCGUUUGUGAAUUUAACAGUAUAAAACAAUUCAAAUUUGAUGAAAUUUUUAUAAAAUUCUUUUUUUUUUUACUAUUCAAAAUAAGAACAGUAUCUCUGAUCUUAAAUCUAAGUUUUUCAUCAUCAUUUUUUAUAAUUUUUUUUUUCAGUCGUUCAUUUUUAGACUACUCAUUUGAUAAAUAAAUGAUGUCGAAAAUUAUAAAAUUUAAUUUUCAUAUAUUUUUAAUAAUAUAGAUCAAAUAUGACGGAGCCAUUCGUCCACUUAAAAACCAUAUCAUUGAAAAAACUUGAUAGGUCUGCGCUACGGAUAACAUAAGAUAUGGACUAUAUAUAUAUAUAUAUAAAUAUCAUUAAUUGCUUCUAAGCUUUUAUUAGUCCAAGUGUUAGGUUCCUAUCUUUAUAAGGCCUAGGGUUGAGGAUAAAAUCAAGAUAUUGAGUUGAUCUUUAUAAGGCCUAGGGUUGAGGAUAAAAUCUAGAUAUUGAGUUGUACAUAUAAAUGUCAUUCAUUGUUUCUAUGCUUUUAUUAGUCCAAGUGUUAGGUUCCCAUCUUUAUAAGGCCAAAGGGUUGUUAUUUUCAGCAACCAUGGGGAGAAGGAUGAGAAAGAGAGAGAAAGAGAGAGAGAGGGAGAGAGAAUUGCAUGCUCCUGGUGCGCCAUGUCCAUGGCGCACCAUUUGAAACCUCUGAAGCUUGAAAUAGUCGACUUUUUCAAUUCAUGAUCACAGUUAUUAAACGUUAUCUAAAUAGUGUAGAAAUUUUUAUUAAAAAUUCGAGUAGUUUGGAUUGCUCUGUACUAUUAAGCAAAUAGUUCAUAUAGACAUUUUAAAUACUCUAGAUUGAUUUUAAUAAUUUUCAUCAUCGAUUUGUGAUUUUUAUUAUUAAAAACGACUUGAUAGAACGAAAACCUCCAUCCUCUUAAAAUGAGAGUAGCUAAAUUUUAUAUAUAUAUAUAUAUCUAGCUACUCUCAUUUUAAGCGGGUGGAGACCUUCGUUCUAUCAAGUCCAUUUUAAUAAUAAAGAUCACAAAUCGAUGAUGAAAAUCUUUAAAAUCGAUAUAGAGUAUUUAAAAUGUCUACAUAAGCUGUUUACUUAUUUAACGGUUCAGAGCAAUCCAAACUACUCGAAUUUUUAAUAAAAAUUUAUACACUAUUUAGAUAAUGUUUACUAAAUGUGACCAUGAAUUGAAAAAGUCAACUAUUUCAAGUUUUAGAGGUUUCAAAUGGUGCACCACGGACGUGGUGCACCAGGCGCAUGCAAUUCUCUCUCCCCCUCUCUCUCUCUCUCUCUCAUAAUUCUCCCCAUGGUUGUUGAAAAUAACAACCCUUGGGCCUUAUAAAGAUGGGAACCUAACACUUGGACUAAUAAAAGCAUAGAUACAAUGAAUGACAUGUUUGUACAACUCAAUAUCUUGAUUUUAUUCUCAAGCCUAGCUAGCUUAAUUGGAAAAAUUCAAAGAAUUAGAUGGCAAAUCGUUUUCUUUGUUGAGACUAAUUGAUAACUUAACUCUAUAAAUUCACCCCUUCUCCAUUCCAAGGUGCCAACAACACAAUUACCUUAUAUCUCUCUCUAAAAGAUUAGAUUCAAAAGAGUAUAAAGAGAACUAAUUAAAGAUGCAUUUAACUCCCAUCCUAAGGGCCCUCCUCCUCAUGGCCAUUGUUGCAACACUCUUUUGUGCUCAUUUCGACUUGGUUCUUGGAGAUGGUAAGAAUUUUGGCUCUUUAGAACUUUAUCUAAAGCCACAUGACGUUCUUGUUAGAAGCUUUAGUGUCUUCAAUUUUGUUUUUUUUUUUUUUUUUGAGAGAUAGUUAGUACGCUACCCGCUUCGUUUAUUUCAUUUAGAAAUAAACUUAGCAAGAAAUGUGAAUUAACUAGGAUUCGAACUUAGGUCUCAGGUACCAACCACCAAGCCCUUUGCCACUUGCUCUAGGGACGGUCGAUGUGUCUUCAAUUUUGCUAAAAAGAUCUUUUUAUGCUUAUAUACUUUUACAAGAAUAUAGAUGUAGUAAUAGCUGAGUUAAAAUACUAUCUGUAGCAAAUGGGCUAUGUUGCUACUAAUUUAUUUUCGAAGUUGGAGGUUCUGAAUUAAUGAUCGGUACCGUUGAAUAUAAUCUAGACCACUCGAAAUAUCUAGAAAUCAAUCAACUUUUAUGUUUUUUCGGUAUUAUUUUCUUAUUCAUUAAAUGGACACAAAAAAUGAACGGUUAGAAAUAAAUUAUCUUUCAAAAAGUGCUGACAGGAUUCAAGAUCAAGAGUGCAUAUCUUAUUUUAAAUAGCUUAAAGAAUUGUUUAAUCAAAAUUCAAUUGAUUUAUAUUUCAUUAUACAGUUAAACGAGCAAAUGCCUCAUAUCAACUAUUAAAAUUAUAAAUUUAACAAUCCUUUGAAAAGAUUUAAAAUUUGAUUUCUAGAUAUUUUAAGUGCCAUAGAUCAUGUUCAACGAUACCGGUCGUUGAUUUGGAGGCCUCAUCAUCGAAAAUAAAUCAGUAGCAAUAGAGCAUGUUACCGACUGUUCCUAAAGCAAGUGGCAAAGGGCUUGGUGGUUGGUACCCGAGACCCAAGUUCGAAUCCUAGUUGAUUCACAUUUCCAGCUAAGUUUAUUUCUAAAUGAAAUAAACGAAACAGAUAGCGUGCUAUCUAUCUCUCAAAAAAAAGCAAUAGCUAGAGCAUGUUUGUUACCGAUAGUAUUCAAGCCCAACUACUCCAUAUAAUAGAAUAUUACACAACAAGUUUAAAUACAAGCUGGGCAGCUUCUCGCUGAAGGUAGCUAGAAGCAAAAGAUUCAUAUUAAAACUUUUGCAUAACACCCGCCCGCCCGGAGAGUAAGUGGCAAAGAAUUUGAUGGUUUAUGUCUGAGGUCCAAUAAUUACUUCACAUCUUUUGCUAAAUUUAUUUCUAAAUAAAUAAACGAAACUGAUAACAUGUCACCAUUCUCUCAAAAAAAAAUGUUUUGCUUGACUGCAUUUUAUUCAUAUUACCCAACGGAUGUCUUCUGCUUCUCAAGUAAUAACGAAAGCCACUCAAACUGUUAUUGUAUGGGAUUUCAUUGAAAUAUACAAAUCUUUAUAUUUCUUUCAAUCUAUACGGACACUUCUAUAAGUCUCGUGUGUCCGUAUCGGACACGCGCGUAUCCGUGUCGGAUACGUGUCCGAUCUGGACACUUUUUAGACGCGCAUUUUAUGUUGAUCUAUAGCGCAAACAAUUAAAAAAUAUAUAUACAUAUUUUUAUUUUAUCUUAUUUAUGCAUAUAUAAUGUAAGAUAAUAAAUAUUUUAGAUUUUUGAUGUAUGCAUACAAAUUUUUUUUGAUAAUACAAGUAAAUUAUGUAUGAUGGAGUAUUUUUUUCUUAAAAUAUAUAAACUAUCAAUAAAAAUUUUACAAACUUUUAUUUGUACAAGAAAUAUAAUAAUAUUUUACCAAAAUUAAUAUUUUAUAUAUAACAAAUUUAUAUUAUUAUAUAUAUUAAUAAUAUUUUAUAUAUGAAUUAAUAAUAUUAUUAUAUUCAUAAAUAUUUUAUUCACAUCACUGAUAAAAGCCAUAUUUUCUCCUGCUUUAUUCAGGGGCAGGGAGGAGACUUUGCUAGGAAGGAGUGGCUACAAUGGCCGGCGAACCCCGCAGUUAUCAAUUCCCUCCGGAAUAAAUAAACAAAAGAUAUUUAAAGCUUAUAUAUAAUAUAUAUAAUAUAUUAUAUAAUAUAUAUAUAUAUAAUAUAUAUUUUUAAUAUAUAUAUAUAUAUAUAUAGCAGGGCUAUUGUGCUCUCAAAAAGUAUGGAGGCCUCUGUGCUCCUGAGCCGUUUUCGAUGGAGUUUUCGAAUCGACGAUCGGUUCCGUUAAACUUGAUCUAACAUAUUUGAAGUUUCUAGAAAAUAAUUUUUGCAAUCUUUCGAUAUCAUUUACCUAGCAAUCGAAAGGAUUCAAAAUCAAUAAUUUUUAACGGCUGAAAAUAAAAAUCCUAUAAAAAGUGGUGAUAUAGCACUAAAAUUUUCGAUCAGAAAUAUUGGUCUUGUUGUAGAUAGUAUAAAGAAUUUUGUAUCAAAAUUUCAUCUGAUUUGAAUACUUCUAUAUCGUUAAAUUUGAAAACGACAGAUAUCAACCAUUAAAAAUUAUGGAUUUUGAAUCCUUUCGAUCACUAGGUAAAUGAUAUCAAAAAAUCGCAAAAAAUUAUUUUCUAAAAACUUUAAAUGCGCUAGAUCAAAUCUAACGGAGCCGAUCGUCGAUUCGAAAAUUCCAUCAUCGAAAAUGACUUAGGAUCGCAGAGGCCUCCGUGCUCCUAAGAGCACAGCAGCCUUACUCUCUCUCUAUAUAUAUAAAUGGUGUAGAUUUUAAUUUGCACUUCUGUGGUUUAGCGCAUAUUUAUUUUGCCAUCAUGUAGUUUAAAAAGUUAUUUAUUGUUAUCUGCGGUUUAUGUUCAUGUCACCGUAAAAAUCUACAUAAAGUAAUAUUUUUUGUAAAUCAUAUGGUGGCAUAUAUAUAUAUAUAUAUAUAUAUAUAUAUAUAUAUAUAUGAUAUUUUACUAUUCUAUAAUCUGCACUUUACCAUCCUAUGAUUUACAAGAAAUAUAUAUAAUCACUUUACCCCUUUUAAUGCAGAAUAAUUAAAUGCAACUUUUUGAACCACACGAGGCGGUGAAAUAAAAAAUACGCUAAAUCAUAUUGGGGCAUAUUGAAGUUUACACAACAAUAAAUAAAAUGGAUACUACUAAUAUAAAAUUUGCGUAUGUAUGUAUUUGCAGUGUGUGGAUUUGGACAUUGAUAUGUUGAUACCUGAUAUACAUAUAUGUCCAUAUCAUCUCAAAUAUCUCAGAUAUUAUUGUGUGUUAAUUAGAAUGAAUGUAUCAGUGACAUAAAUACAUAAUAAAUAAGUUGAGGUUUGCUUAAAGAAGAAUAUUGUUUGGAGCAUAUGGAAUGUAUGGUUGAUUGUACAGUUCAUGACCUUAAUUUGUGAAAUAUUGGGUG